rnacentral:misc_RNA from 1 species
CGUCACGACCUCCCCCGGACGAACGUCGAAAUUGAUGCCGUGAAGGAUGUGGGACUCGCCGUACCACGCCUCGAGAUUCUUGACGGUCAGGACCGGGGAGCCUGCGGCGUUAUUCAUGGCCGGCUCCAAGAUNNAGGCUUCCUUGACCUGCGGAUGCUUGGUGAGCGUGGCGUAGUCGCCUUCUGCCAGCACCUUGCCGCGUGUCAGCACGGUGAUCGUAUCGGACAGGUGGGCGACGACAUUCAGAUUAUGUUCGACCAUCAGGAUCGUAUACUUCUGCGAGAUGCGCUUGAUCAGCGCGGCGACCUUGUCGAUGUCUUCAUGGCCCAUGCCGGCCAUCGGUUCGUCGAGCAGCAUCAUUUCCGGAUCGAGCGCCAGCGUGGUUGCGAUCUCCAGCGCCCGCUUGCGGCCAUACGGCAUUUCCACCGCCGGCGUA